AUCAAACAUCAGCCAUGUCUCUCAAGGUGAUCCUCGUAGCUUGUGUGGCCGUCGUGGCUGUAGCCGAUAAGGCUCCUGUGUACAAUCAGCUACCUGUUUAUGCUGCUCCCACGUACCACGCUCCCGAACCAGUGUACCAUGCCCCUUCCCACUACAAGCAGCCUGAAUACCCUACCGUACCACCAAAGUACAACUACAACUACGGUGUUGUCGAUGGCUACUCCGGCGCCAACUUCG
rnacentral:lncRNA from 1 species